UGAGGAAUAUUGGUCAAUGGGCGUGAGCCUGAACCAGCCAAGUAGCGUGCAGGAAGACGGCCCUAUGGGUUGUAAACUGCUUUUAUGCGGGGAUAAAGGAGUCCACGUGUGGAUUUUUGCAGGUACCGCAUGAAUAAGGACCGGCUAAUUCCGUGCCAGCAGCCGCGGUAAUACGGAAGGUCCGGGCGUUAUCCGGAUUUAUUGGGUUUAAAGGGAGCGUAGGCCGCGUUUUAAGCGUGUUGUGAAAUGUAGACGCCCAACGUCUGCAUCGCAGCGCGAACUGGGACGCUUGAGUACGCGCAACGUGGGCGGAAUUCGUCGUGUAGCGGUGAAAUGCGUAGAUAUGACGGGGAACUCCGAUUGCGAGGGCAGCUGACGGGAGCGGCACUGACGCUUAAGCUCGAAGGUGCGGGUAUCAAACAGG
rnacentral:rRNA from 1 species